AGUCAUCCAGGUAUACGAAUUAAUAGUGAUCAAAUUUAUAAUUCUUUAGUUACAAGACAUGCAUUUUUAAUAAUUUCUUUUAUAGUUAUACCAUUUAUAAUUGGAGGAUUUGGUAAUUAUUUAAUCCCAUUAAUAUUAGGUGAACUUAAUAUUAAUGGGAUUAAAUAAUUACCAAAUCCUCCAAUUAUAAAUGGUAUAACUAUAAAAAAAAUUAUUAAAAAUGCAUGUCUUGUAACUAAAGAAUUAUAAAUUUGAUUACUAUUAAUUCAUAUACCUGGAUGACU
rnacentral:misc_RNA from 1 species